rnacentral:rRNA from 1 species
UACGUAGGGUGCAAGCGUUAAUCGGAAUUACUGGGCGUAAAGCGUGCGCAGGCGGUUAUGUAAGACAGAUGUGAAAUCCCCGGGCUCAACCUGGGGACUGCAUUUGUGACUGCAUAGCUAGAGUACGGUAGAGGGGGAUGGAAUUCCGCGUGUAGCAGUGAAAUGCGUAGAGAUUGGAAAGAACACCGAUGGCGAAGGCACUUUACUGGGCUAUUACUAACACUCAGAGACGAAAGCUAGGGUAGCAAAUGGG